AUUUUUUGAAGGAAAAAAAAACAAUGAUACUAUAAUGGUAAAUAGUGAUAAGUGUAUAGAUUCGCAGUAAAUCUCCCUUCCGUUCUAGCUUCUUUUGAAUGGCCUGGAUAAAUUUCACAUUAUCCACAGUAACUCACUAUUUUCUCUCCUUCAAGCCAUGAAAGAGAAAAUGUGGUGUCCAGGGCAUGUACGUGUCUGGGUCUGUGAUAAUCAGAAAGAACCAAAAAUAUCUCGUUCGUGCCAAAAAAUUGGCAUACUAGUCAUAGAAGGCAAGAAAAAAGAAAGAUAGCCCAACCCUUUCUUCCUCUUCUUGUCUAUCUUCAUCACUG
rnacentral:lncRNA from 1 species